rnacentral:rRNA from 1 species
UACGUAGGGUGCGAGCGUUAAUCGGAUUUACUGGGCGUAAAGCGUGCGUAGGCGGUCCCCCAAGUCCGCUGUGAAAGCCCCGGGCUUAACCUGGGAAUGGCAGUGGAAACUAUGGGACUUGAAUCUGGCAGAGGGGGGUGGAAUGCCACGGUGUAGCAGUGAAAUGCGUAGAGAUGUGGCGGAACACCGAUGGCGAAGGCAGCCCCCUGGGCUGAGAUUGACGCUCAGGCACGAAAGCGUGGGGAGCAAACAGG